rnacentral:lncRNA from 1 species
UCAGAUUGGAUACAUUUAGCACACUGUUAUUACUCCCUCCGUUCCUAAAUAUAAGUCUUUGUAGAGAUUCCACCAUGGACUGCAUACGGAUGUAUAUAGAUGCAUUUUAAGUGUAGAUUCAUCCAUUUUGUUUCGUGUGUGGUCCAUAGUGGAAUCUCGUCAAAACGGAGGGAGUACAAACUAAGGAUCCAGGCGGGCAUCCUGUGAACCCACAUGCAUGUAGAUCAAAAGUCAAUCCUAGGUCGACUUUUACUAUGCUUGCAUACGGGUUCACGCGGACUCGUGCCGUGCUUGCACGGUUGCACCCCUGAUUAAACCAGAUUGAUAGAGAUAGACAACUGCAACAACAAAACAGUAGUAGUAUUCCCGGCCAAAACAAAUACAAACAAAAACAGUAGUAGUAUAAUAACAUGUAUAAGAAAAACUCAACACGCCGUCCCCUUUGGACUGUCAUAGUUCUUCCAGAAAACCAAGAACACCAGUGAUCCGCCAACCAGGGUCGCGGAUUCGCCAACCAGGGUCGCGGUUAGCCGUCUGAUUGACAGUAGCGGCCGUACGCACGGUAGGCAUAAAGGAGACAAGAUGAAGAACAGGUCUUUCAAGGGUAGUAGAGCGCACAAGAAGACGCGACAGUGCACAGGAGCCCUGGGCGCGCAGCGUACGUACAUGAUUCAUGGGAGAAUUAGCUAAGGUGAUUUAUGAAGGCGCUUCAAUCGGGAGUUAAUAGUAGUGGUAUUGCUUCUAGUAGUGGCCGUUGGCGGCGCCUGAGUUGGUGGCGCUGCCGCUCUUGCCGUCGACGACGACCUCGGUCAUGGGCACCUGGUCGGCCUUGCGCUUACGGGCCUCCAGGAUCUGCUGCGUCGACUUGUAGUAGAUGCCGUACAGGAUGAUCUGCCCCACAGCGAACAUCACGCCCAGCCCGUUGGGGAUCUGCAUCCAACAGCAAAGAAUACCAAUUUAACCCACAGCGGAGAGCAACGGAGAACAGAAGUUUGUAACCAGAAAAACAAAACAUAAUCCAAGAAAUGUGUUGGCCUGAGCCAAGGGUCAGCACAGUAGGUGACGCGUUGCAUGCCGUGGCCGCGGACAAAGGGCAACCAGAAUAGCACAUGACGUAAUACCCUGUGUUGUGGUGUACCAUCGGCUACCGUGCAUCAGCGGUCAGGAGCGGACGGAUAGAUCCCAAAUGCACACGCAUUGAUUGGGAGUUGAACGCAGUGCGAUGGCUAUGCGGACGUGGGCGGUGGCAGCAUCCACCUCGCCGCCUUCCUCUCGUGCCAUACACACCACACAAGCUACACCUCACAGGUCGGGAUCAGCGGCUGAGCCCCCCCGAUUUGACGCCUCCAGUUGACAACACGACCUCUCUUUGAACGAAAACCUGUUUUUUUCUCUUGGAAUUUCAACGAAGAAAACAUGUUUUUGCCAUCCCGACACACAUCUGACGCCAACAGUAAUUAUUCAUUCGGACCGGGACAGGCGGACAGGUGUGUGCUGUUAGCGUGACAAUCCCAAAUCCAAACAGGUAGCCGACAACGGAGACGAUCCGGUCCGCAAGGUCAGUCGUGACAACACUGGCUUGACCUUUCGGUCUCACGAUGUCCGCCGAGCCAUGCCACCGUGCAAAAGUAGGACCCGAGGCUUGAAAGCAACGCCGACGCCUGGUCCGAUAUUUCGGCCCAUCGCACGCGCCCGUGGCCAGCCUAAAACUGCAUGCUGCUAGAUGGGCCAUGGAGUCUUGGUCCUACUAAUAACGACUCUACUACCUAGCAACCCAAUCUUAUCUUACCCAAAUGAAAACGGCCCUCCCAGCACAAAAACGUGCAUGUACACCGUAGCUAGUCCCAUGAACGUGCAUGCAGAUCGCAGCAGGGAAGCAAAGAAAGGGCCCCCGUUACUUCUGUCCGCGGGUGGUGCACGCAACUUGUUGUGAGAACGCAAGUCCUAGUUGCAAGGCUGCAUUCAUUUGGGUUGGGUGGUUCGCCUGAACCAAUCCAAAUAUGGUUUGGUACCUAACGAGAUCAGAUGCACCUCCUAAAUUUAUACACCCGGCCCUGCCAUCAUCAACUUGCCUUGGCAGAACUUAGCAAGUCACCCAUGUUAACUUCCGGCGCUGCUUACUUUAAUUAGACGGGCAUUGCCCAGGUUCUGUGCUGGCUACUCAGGGUAGCAAGCGCUCAAGUGGAAGUCAUCCUCAUCUCACACCAGCAAUUAGUAUACUGCUAGCUAAUGGUUACUAUUACUGUGUGUGAAAUUUUAGAAGGCUUACGGUGAUGUAGAGGUCGAACUUGAUGAGGGCGUAGGCAGUCCAGCAGAUGCCAUUGACGAG